AGGACGAACGCUGGCGGCGUGCUUAACACAUGCAAGUCGAACGAUGAAGCCUUUCGGGGUGGAUUAGUGGCGAACGGGUGAGUAACACGUGGGCAAUCUGCCCUUCACUCUGGGACAAGCCCUGGAAACGGGGUCUAAUACCGGAUAAUACUUCUGCCUGCAUGGGUGGGGGUUAAAAGCUCCGGCGGUGAAGGAUGAGCCCGCGGCCUAUCAGCUUGUUGGUGAGGUAGUGGCUCACCAAGGCGACGACGGGUA
rnacentral:rRNA from 1 species